AAGACGGUAUCCGCAAGGAGCUGUACUUCAACCGUAUGUUUUUUUUUGCUUGAACAACUGAAUAGCUUUACCCAAGCAAUAUGUCGGAUUCUGCUCUGAGCCUAACCGGACCGAGACAGAAGG
rfam:Paenibacillus sp. MSt1 Contig_8, whole genome shotgun sequence.